rnacentral:rRNA from 1 species
AGCAGCCGCGGUAAUUCCAGCUCCAAUAGCGUAUAUUAAAGUUGUUGCAGUUAAAAAGCUCGUAGUUGAAUUUCGGGAUCAGUACGCUGGUCGUGCCUCGGUAUGUACUGGUGUUACUGGUUCCUACCUUCUGACGAACCGUCAUGUCAUUAAUUUGGUGUGGCGGGGAAUCAGGACUGUUACUUUGAAAAAAUUAGAGUGUUUAAAGCAGGCUCGCGCUUGAAUACAUUAGCAUGGAAUAAUGAAAUAGGACGUUCGAUCCUAUUUUGUUGGUUUCUAGGAUUGACGUAAUGAUUAAUAGGGAUAGUUGGGGGCAUUAGUAUUCAAUUGUCAGAGGUGAAAUUCUUGGAUUUAUUGAAGACUAACUACUGCGAAAGCAUUUGCCAAGGAUGUUUUCAUUAAUCAAGAACGAAAGUUAGGGGAUCGAAGACGAUCAGAUACCGUCGUAGUCUUAACCAUAAACUAUGCCGACUAGGGAUCGGAUGAUGUUAAUUUUUAAUGACUCAUUCGGCGCCUUACG